CACGUAGUUAGCCGGCGCUUCUUUACCCACUACCCUCACCACAACCCAAAGCUGCGGCUUGACCAUGAGCGAAAGAGGUUCACAACCCGAAGGCCUACAUCCCUCACGCGGCGUCGCUGCAUCAGACUUGCGUCCAUUGUGCAAAAAUUCCCCACUGCUGCCUCCCGUAGGAGUCUGGGCCGUAUCUCAGUCCCAAUGUGACCGGUCACCCUCUCAGGCCGGUUACCGUCAAAGCCUUGGUAGGCCACUACCCCACCAACAAGCUGAUAGGCCGCGAGCCCAUCCCCCACCAAAAACACCCAAAAGCAUCUCUUUCCACACACCCCCAUGCGAAGACAUGUGAAUAUUCAGUAUUAGCAGCCCUUUCAGACCGUUAUCCCCAAAGAAGAGGGCAGGUUACUCACGUGUUACUCACCCGUUCGCCACUAAUCAACGGUGCACGCACCGCAUCAUCGUUCGACUUGCAUGUGUUAAGCACGCCGCCAGCUUGUCUAGCCAGGAUA
rnacentral:rRNA from 1 species